GCUGCGCCCCCUAGAGCGUCCUUUGUGCUGGACCUCUGAGAUGUUCUGUGGCUGGAAAUCCUGGGAGCCGAGGAUCCUGGAUGGGAACGCUUUGGGGAACAAUACCUUCUUCAGGACAUUCAAAGGGUCACACUGUCCCUGAGGUCUGGCUCUGAGGUUGACCUGCGCUGAAGGCUGGUGGUAAUGUUCUUAAACUCUCUUUAGGUAUCUACAGACAGACAGACAGUUAUAAUAGGAUCUACAGAGGGCACCAAUUCAUAAUCCAGCCAAGGCCAACAAAAUGACAAGAGCCAACUCUGAUGCGGGCCAUAUCCAGUGGAGUGUGUCCCAUAGUAUCUUGGAGCGUAACAUCAGCGCCGGCCUGGACUAGGAUCUCUACACAGUUCAGGAGACCUUCAGAAGCUGCCAUGUGGAGUGGUGUUUGACCCACAUCUGAGGU